rnacentral:rRNA from 1 species
GACGAACGCUGGCGGCGCGCUUUAUACAUGCAAGUCGAACGUGAAGCUCGGAGCUUGCUCCGGGUGGAAAGUGGCGAACGGGUGAGUAUCACGUGAGAAACCUGCCCCGAAGACCGGGAUAACACCGGGAAACCGGUGCUAAUACCGGAUGCCCUCACCGGAUCGCAUGGUCUGGUGAGGAAAUGGAUUCCGCUUCGGGAUGGUCUCGCGGCCUAUCAGCUUGUUGGUGGGGUAAGGCCCACCAAGGCUUCGACGGGUAGCUGGUCUGAGAGGAUGUCCAGCCACACUGGGACUGAGACACGGCCCAGACUCCUACGGGAGGCAGCAGUAGGGAAUCUUGCACAAUGGACGAAAGUCUGAUGC